UACGUAGGGUGCGAGCGUUAAUCGGAAUUACUGGGCGUAAAGCGUGCGCAGGCGGUUCGUCGUGUCCGAUGUGAAAGCCCCGGGCUCAACCUGGGAAUGGCAUUGGAAACUGGCGGACUCGAGUGUGGCAGAGGGGGGUGGAAUUCCACGUGUAGCAGUGAAAUGCGUAGAGAUGUGGAGGAAUACCGAUGGCGAAGGCAGCCCCCUGGGAUAACACUGACGCUCAUGCACGAAAGCGUGGGGAGCAAACAGG
rnacentral:rRNA from 1 species